UUCCUGGGCCAUUAGCUCAGGUGGUUAGAGCGCACCCCUGAUAAGGGUGAGGUCCCUGGUUCAAGUCCAGGAUGGCCCAUAUCUCUAUGUUGGGGGUAUAGCUCAGUUGGUAGAGCGCCUGCUUUGCAAGCAGGAUGUCAGCGGUUCGAGUCCGCUUACCUCCACUGAAUACCACCUCUUACAUAUAGUUGAAGUGGGAAAUUGUUUUGAGUCGUGUCCUAAUUUGCUCUGAGCGAAUCUAGCUUCCUAUUUUAUCCAAGAAAUAAGAUGCUGGACUCAUUGAAUUUUUUUUCAUUGUUUUCAGAGAACCUUGACAACUGCAUAGAUUAUUUUUAAAGACAAUAAGCAUCUUUAAUGAUGCAGAUUUAUUAUUUGUGCGAAUGCAUUAAAUAACAAUUCUAUUAAGCUGGUGCUUCAAUUAUUGAAGUUAUUGGUCAAGCUACAAAGGGCUCACGGAGGAUACCUAGGCACACAGAGGCGAUGAA
rnacentral:tRNA from 1 species